GGCUAAGUGAAUCAUAGAAUAUUAAGCACUACACCAUGACUUAAGAUUAGAAUUCAAGGAGACCUAUUGAGAAUAGAUUUCUUGUAGGCUUUGUGAUGACCAGGAGGAUUAGCGCUAUUUUUCCAAGACAGGUUUAUAUGUGUAUGAUCUUCAGGCUUUGCCUAUCCAGGUUGGCUGGCCGGUGCUGACGGGACGGAGCUGAGGCUAGAGAUAAAUUCCUAUGUUAGACUUCCGCUGUAGCAAUUACUCUUAUACAUCUUUUGUUUUCUCAACUUAAGAUGACUUCAUUUGAGCUUCAAUUUAAAAUUUAUAGUUUUAUGUUAAUGAACGUCGGUUGUCAGAAGCAUGAAACAAAACUUGUGAUCCAAAGGGGCCUAGCCUGACUUUCUAUCCUAUUUCGGGUUUUAACAAGGUAUUUCCCUUGUUUAUUUCUAUGAAUUAUUCACACCUCGAUUAUAUUUA